CAGGCAGCUCCACUAGGUAGUAUGUUCUCUGGGCAGCCACCAGGGGCCCGACCACCCCUGACAGGACUCCUAGGCUAGGCUUCACUUCUCAGGUGCUCCAAGCCCUUCUAAUAGUACUUUGGUGGUUGACUUGGAGUCAUCUUUCAAGGCUUGCUUUGUAUCUCUGGUGAGUCAGGACUAUAUCAAUGGCACUGAUCAGGAAGAAAUUCAAACUGGUGUUAAUCAGUGUAUCCAGAAGUUUCCGGAUACUGCAAGAGAGACAAUGUUUGCUUUGUUUUGUUUUUCCUAAAAAAAGAUUGCAAUUAUCUGUCCAGAAACCAGAGCAAGUUAUCAAAGAGGAUAUCUCAGAACUAUGGAAUGAAUUACAACAUUAAGAUGCACUGGUCCAGAAGCAUUUGACAAAGCUGAGGCAUUGGCAGCAGGUGCUAAAGGACAUCAACAUGCAGAACAAAAGCCAGCCGACAUCCCUCAGGGCUCCUUGGCCUACCUUGAGCAGGCAUCUGCCAAUAUCCCUCCACCUCUGAAGCCAACCUGAGCAAAGGGCAAAGGCUGUCAGCCUGAGAGAGGGCUGG
rnacentral:lncRNA from 1 species